rnacentral:rRNA from 1 species
CGAUGAAUCUUCUAGCUUGCUAGAAGUGGAUUAGUGGCGCACGGGUGAGUAAUGCAUAGGUUAUGUGCCCUUUAGUCUGGGAUAGCCACUGGAAACGGUGAUUAAUACUGGAUACUCCCUACGGGGGAAAGUUUUUCGCUAAAGGAUCAGCCUAUGUCCUAUCAGCUUGUUGGUGAGGUAAUGGCUCACCAAGGCUAUGACGGGUAUCCGGCCUGAGAGGGUGAUCGGACACACUGGAACUGAGACACGGUCCAGACUCCUACGGGAGGCAGCAGUAGGGAAUAUUGCUCAAUGGGGGAAACCCUGAAGCAGCAACGCCGCGUGGAGGAUGAAGGUUUUAGGAUUGUAAACUCCUUUUGUUAGAGAAGAUUAUGACGGUAUCUAACGAAUAAGCACCGGCUAACUCCGUGCCAGCAGCCGCGGUAAUACGGAGGGUGCAAGCGUUACUCGGAAUCACUGGGCGUAAAGAGUGCGUAGGCGGGGUAAUAAGUCAGAUGUGAAAUCCUGUAGCUUAACUACAGAACUGCAUUUGAAACUGUUACUCUGGAGUGUGGGAGAGGUAGGUGGAAUUCUUGGUGUAGGGGUAAAAUCCGUAGAGAUCAAGAGGAAUACUCAUUGCGAAGGCGACCUGCUGGAACAUUACUGACGCUGAUGCACGAAAGCGUGGGGAGCAAACAGGAUUAGAUACCCUGGUAGUCCACGCCCUAAACGAUGGAUGCUAGUUGUUGCCUUGCUUGUCAGGGCAGUAAUGCAGCUAACGCAUUAAGCAUCCCGCCUGGGGAGUACGGUCGCAAGAUUAAAACUCAAAGGAAUAGACGGGGACCCGCACAAGCGGUGGAGCAUGUGGUUUAAUUCGAAGAUACGCGAAGAACCUUACCUAGGCUUGACAU